rnacentral:rRNA from 1 species
GUAGGGAAUAUUGCACAAUGGGCGAAAGCCUGAUGCAGCAACGCCGCGUGUGCGAAGAAGGCCUUCGGGUCGUAAAGCACUUUUCUGGGAGAUGAGAAAGGACAGUAUCCCAGGAAUAAGUCUCGGCUAACUACGUGCCAGCAGCCGCGGUAAAACGUAGGAGGCGAGCGUUAUCCGGAUUCACUGGGCGUAAAGCGCGUGCAGGCGGUUUGGUAAGUUGGGCGUGAAAGCUCCUGGCUCAACUGGGAGAGGUCGUCCAAAACUACCAGACUAGAGAGCGGUAGAGGAAAAUGGAAUUCCCGGUGUAGUGGUGAAAUGCGUAGAUAUCGGGAGGAACACCAGUGGCGAAGGCGAUUUUCUGGACCGUUUCUGACGCUCAGACGCGAAAGCUAGGGUAGCAAACGGGAUUAGAUACCCUAGUAGUCC